CAGCAGCCGCGGGAACACGUAGGUGGCAAGCGUUGUCCGGAAUUAUUGGGCGUAAAGGGCUCGCAGGCGGUUUCUUAAGUCUGAUGUGAAAGCCCCCGGCUCAACCGGGGAGGGUCAUCGGAAACUGGGAAACUUGAGUGCAGAAGAGGAGAGUGGAAUUCCACGUGUAGCGGUGAAAUGCGUAGAGAUGUGGAGGAACACCAGUGGCGAAGGCGACUCUCUGGUCUGUAACUGACGCUGAGGAGCGAAAGCGUGGGGAGCGAACAGGAUUAGAUACCCGCGUAGUCCCUGUCUCUUAUAC
rnacentral:rRNA from 1 species